CUGUGCUAGACGGGGAGGUAGCGGUGCCCUGACUCCCGCGUAAGCGGGAUGACCUGCAAUCCGCUGUAGCAGGGUUUAAUUCCUGAGUAAGAUAUCAACCUAGGAUGAUACAUGCUAUAGAUAGGUGUUGAUAGCUAGACCCUAUGUGGCGAAUACGGGUGAACCCCGUCAGGAUCGGAAGAUAGCAGCGGUAAGUCAUGUUGUUCGGGUACCGUAGUGUGUUCUGGCUAGAGUCUUGAAAUAGUGGUUGUACGCCGAUCGUUGGUGUCGAACAAAGGUGCACAG
rnacentral:SRP_RNA from 1 species